rnacentral:tRNA from 1 species
CACAAUUUUGACGUGAAGAUGAAAAAGGAGUUAGAGAAUAAUUUUGUUGAAUGUUGAGAAUAUUGC